rnacentral:lncRNA from 1 species
UCUCUUAAGAGAUCCUCAAUGUGUCUUCAAUUUGAGCUCAUAGAAUCCCCUAGCACAAAAGCAAACACAUCAAAAGCUUCAUGAAGUAAAUCAAGAAUGGACAAGAGUGAGUUUAGAGAUUUGGUCCUUCUAAUCCAUCUUCAUCAUUAAGGUCCAUUUACUCCAAUUUUGCAUAAGGAAAGGUCCUAGAAUCUAAGUCCAUUUCUCCAUUUCUUUGCAUAGG